AGAGUUUGAUCCUGGCUCAGGACGAACGCUGGCGGCGUGCCUAAUACAUGCAAGUAGAACGCUGAAGAGAGGAGCUUGCUCUUCUUGGAUGAGUUGCGAACGGGUGAGUAACGCGUAGGUAACCUGCCUUGUAGCGGGGGAUAACUAUUGGAAACGAUAGCUAAUACCGCAUAACAAUGGAUGACACAUGUCAUUUAUUUGAAAGGGGCAAUUGCUCCACUACAAGAUGGACCUGCGUUGUAUUAGCUAGUAGGUGAGGUAACGGCUCACCUAGGCGACGAUACAUAGCCGACCUGAGAGGGUGAUCGGCCACACUGGGACUGAGACACGGCCCAGACUCCUACGGGAGGCAGCAGUAGGGAAUCUUCGGCAAUGGGGGCAACCCUGACCGAGCAACGCCGCGUGAGUGAAGAAGGUUUUCGGAUCGUAAAGCUCUGUUGUAAGUCAAGAACGAGUGUGAGAGUGGAAAAUUCACACUGUGACGGUAGCUUACCAGAAAGGGACGGCUAACUACGUGCCAGCAGCCGCGGUAAUACGUAGGUCCCGAGCGUUGUCCGGAUUUAUUGGGCGUAAAGCGAGCGCAGGCGGUUUGAUAAGUCUGAAGUUAAAGGCUGUGGCUCAACCAUAGUUCGCUUUGGAAACUGUCAAACUUGAGUGCAGAAGGGGAGAGUGGAAUUCCAUGUGUAGCGGUGAAAUGCGUAGAUAUAUGGAGGAACACCGGUGGCGAAAGCGGCUCUCUGGUCUGUAACUGACGCUGAGGCUCGAAAGCGUGGGGAGCGAACAGGAUUAGAUACCCUGGUAGUCCACGCCGUAAACGAUGAGUGCUAGGUGUUGGAUCCUUUCCGGGAUUCAGUGCCGCAGCUAACGCAUUAAGCACUCCGCCUGGGGAGUACGACCGCAAGGUUGAAACUCAAAGGAAUUGACGGGGGCCCGCACAAGCGGUGGAGCAUGUGGUUUAAUUCGAAGCAACGCGAAGAACCUUACCAGGUCUUGACAUCCCGAUGCUAUUUCUAGAGAUAGAAAGUUACUUCGGUACAUCGGUGACAGGUGGUGCAUGGUUGUCGUCAGCUCGUGUCGUGAGAUGUUGGGUUAAGUCCCGCAACGAGCGCAACCCCUAUUGUUAGUUGCCAUCAUUCAGUUGGGCACUCUAGCGAGACUGCCGGUAAUAAACCGGAGGAAGGUGGGGAUGACGUCAAAUCAUCAUGCCCCUUAUGACCUGGGCUACACACGUGCUACAAUGGUUGGUACAACGAGUUGCGAGUCGGUGACGGCAAGCUAAUCUCUUAAAGCCAAUCUCAGUUCGGAUUGUAGGCUGCAACUCGCCUACAUGAAGUCGGAAUCGCUAGUAAUCGCGGAUCAGCACGCCGCGGUGAAUACGUUCCCGGGCCUUGUACACACCGCCCGUCACACCACGAGAGUUUGUAACACCCGAAGUCGGUGAGGUAACCUUUUGGAGCCAGCCGCCUAAGGUGGGAUAGAUGAUUGGGGUGAAGUCGUAACAAGGUAGCCGUAUCGGAAGGUGCGGCUG
rnacentral:rRNA from 1 species